rnacentral:rRNA from 1 species
CCCUCACUGAGCGAGCAUUCGGCAUUCCUAGUAUGCUCCACUCAUUCUACGCCAAGCACCCAAUCACGAGAUCAGAAUCACACUCUAGACCAUACCUUUCAUGAAAGAAAAGGACAGUCAGCCGCUGCUAAACCAAGAUCUCCAUCUCUUGACCCUGUCAAUCAAUCUUACCUUAUAGGGCACAAAGGUAUAUUUACUGUACGAGAUGUGUGCACCUACUAA